rnacentral:ncRNA from 1 species
CUAGUUAAUUCUACUAGUAGUUAUAUACUUAUCUUAAAAAUUAAACUAUAUAUAUCUAAAUAUAAGUAAUUAUAUAGUAAAACUAUAAAUAACUUAUUAUAUAAAUUAUUAUUUAUUUAAUAGUACCUUACUACUUAGAUAAUUAUAAUAAUUCUAAAACUAAUAUAUAUAAAAAAUCCCAACUUUAAAAAAGAUAUAUUUAUUAAAUUAAAAACUAAUACUUUUUAGAACUUACUAGUAAUUUAUAAUAACUUCUCAAAUUAUAUAACUUUAUACUAAUAAUAAUUCAUUUAAAUUUCUUUUCUAUUAACUUUUAAUACUAAAAUAGUAUUCUAAUAUAAUUAUAAUAAAUAAUAAAAAGUUAAAACUUAAUUCUAGAGAAAGAACCUAAGAAAUAGUUAUUAUAUCUAAAGAAGGUAGUAGAUAUAUAAAUUACCCUAUCCUAAUAUAAAGAAAUAGUAAUAAUAAAUAUUAAUAUAAAGCUCUUUUAAGUCUUAUAAUUAGAAUAAGUAUAAUUUAAAUUUCUUAAUAAGAAAUAAUUAGAAAGUAAGUCUAAUACUAAUAGUUAUAGUAAUUCUAAUUCUAAUAGUAUAUAUUAAAGUUGUUAUAAUUAAAAAGCUUAUAGUAGAACCUUCAAUCUAACUAACUAGUCUACUUUACUAUAUAUACUAAUCUAAUUAGAUUUUUCUUUUUAUAAAACUAUAUACUUUUUAUUAAGUAUAUUAGAAAAAUAAGAUUUUUAUUUUAAAAAAAUUAGAAUACUCUAAAUAGACCUAUAUUUAAAUAUAUUAAUAUAGAAUAAUAAAAUAAGAUAUAUAGUUCUAUUUUAUUAAUUUCUAGGAUUAUUAUAAUAAUUAAUAAGGAUAGUUAGAAGUAUCAGUAUUCAAUUAUUAGAAGUAAAAUUCUUAGAUUUAUUAAAAACUAACUACUAUAAAAAUAUUUACUAAAGAUAUUUUUAUUUAUUAGGAACGAAAAUUAGGAGAUUAAAAAUAAUUAGAUAUUAUUAUAAUCUUAACUAUAAACUAUACUAAUUAAGAAUUAGAUAAUAUUAUUUUUUAACUUAUUUAAUACCUUAUAAGAAAUCAAAAUAUUUAAACUAUA